CGCGCGGGGAAACGGCUAGACUCCGCCUUCGCUGACUAGGCGAACGAAAGAGAAGGGGACCCCUUGCCUCGUCGUUGCGUAGAUACUCCAACCUCGAACCAACUCGAGAUAAUAUCAUCUAGAUCUUCCAACUGCCCUACUGCUCGUGCGUCCGUGCGCCCAUGUAGCUUCGCAAUACUGCAGAGAACGCGCCUCAUGCGUGUGGACUUGUGAGAGCGCCCGCGCCUUAUCUAUUUAUCAUACAGAUCUUUAUUUUUGGUUUUUAAUACUUUUUCUCAUUUCUCGCAUUGCUUUUAACAUUGGCUAAAUAAAGGAAAAUUAACUUUGAAGAGCGCUCCUCGUGCACUUUGCCAACUGUUUAUAGGUCAUCGCUCUCGACAUUUUUUCUUCCCGUUGUCUGGCUUUCGUCAGUUGUUGCUUCAUCUCGCUUACAAAGCCUGCAGAACGACGAAAACGACACGAAGCAAUUUCAGGAAUUUCGACUUUCAGACGAUCUUCGAUGCUCCUUGAGGCGAAAAAGUUUUUUAUACUUUUUGCAAUUUCUUUCGAAAUACUUUGAUCUUUGAUGAUUUCUCGGAAACAGUGGCAAAAAGUAUUCAAAUUUUUAUAUUUAAUACAACGAUUCGAUUAUCUUUUCAGUGACGAAUAAUUAUCAUUGGCAUUUUUUUAUCUCGUUUAGAAUGCAGUUGCUCGUUCGUAAGCAGGAUGGGAAAACUAUUUUCGGGGCUUAACUCAUCACAGUGUUGGAAGCCGCUGUAACGAAUAAAAUGUCGGAAAUAAUGAUAGCGGCGAACAAGUUUCUCCCGCAGAAUUGUCCAGUAGAGUGUAACACGAAGAACACGAUAGAAUCGUGGAUGGUUCGAGGCAAAAUGGAGGAUGUGAAUGCGGCACGCCAUGAUUAGAUUGUGGCUUGUGCUCCAGGCGUCCGAGUAGGUUCAGCGCGUUAGCAAAUUCGGUCCGUUGAGUGUUGACAAGUCCACAUCGUACGUACCUUAGCGCGUGGCCUUGUAAUUCUAACGAGCUUAGAGCACCGGUCGCAGCGCAUUUCCAACGUGCCAUGCGUUCUGGCGUUUGAGAUAAGUUCCCGCUCCAGCAGCUCGUCAAGUGAAAACAUUAAAAAAAACUCCUGCAAAACUCUCGCACUACGUUUCAAAUGGAAAAAUCAUUUCAGAACCGGAAUCCGUACACGAAAAAUCUCGUUUGAAAAAUCGAGCUUCGAAUACGAGUUCAAAGUUUCCCGUAUCGAGGCCCCUUUGAAUCCGAGCAGACCACAGUGAUGGGACCGCUGGGCAGCGAACGCUCCAUCAUCCGAAACAACAAAACUGCCAGCAGCUACCAAACGUAAAGUGACAGAUAUCCACCCAAAAGUGAUAUUACAAAGGGAUGUGCAUGUACAUUUGAGGGACCCAAGAGGUAACUUAUGAUUAACAACUCGCAUUAAACUCACAACGGAGCAAAAAUAUUAGUUGGUAUAUCGAGACGUUCUGACGUGAGCACUGAUCGCAUGACCAGAAAUUAUUAGACGAUGAUAUUUUGUUGAUUUUAAUUAUGGGUCAACUCUGAGUGUAAGUCGAGAUCACCGAAUUUGAGCGAUUAUGGCGAGAUCAUUGUAAAAAAAAUUCUCAAAAUAGUUAUCAGCACAAGUUGUACUUUUCUAUUCGCUCAGUGGAAUUCAACCCGAAAUGGAACGUUGGCCGAUAAUUGUUGCAACAUUUCUGAAUACUUAUAAAAAAAAAGCGAGUAUCGGGUGAAUUCGAAUUAAACGAACCCAAUUCCCCGCAAUUGUAUGCAAACGAAUUGGGGAACCGCGAUAAGGCACGAGGAAGAAUAUCUGUGUUGAUUGAUCGUACUCCCUCGACAUGGGAUUGAUGGCGUUUAUUUAAUUUACUCUAUAAAAGUGUGGGCGACUGUGCGCAGUAGCACGGAAGAGGGGAUGGGAAACAGACAGAGAGGUCGAGAGCGAGAGGUCGACAAUAAUUAUGGAUUAUUAGACUACUGACUUGUAUCGUAGUAACGAACAAAGUACAAUCUGAAGUGCAGCAUUGUUGUUGUGGUUUCAAUACCAACGUACGUGAACCAAUUCCAAAAUCAAAGGCUUGGCCGCAUGAAUUAAUCAGUUGAUUAUCUCAACGAUAAAAAGUGAGGAAAAUAUUAUCCAUGCACAAUGUUUAUCAAUAAAUAAAUCAUUUUCAAUGGCAA